rnacentral:rRNA from 1 species
AGAGUUUGAUCCUGGCUCAGGACGAACGCUGGCGGCGCGCCUAACACAUGCAAGUCGAACGGUGAAGAGGAGCUUGCUCCUCGGAACAGUGGCGGACGGGUGAGUAACACGUGAGCAACCUGGCUCUAAGAGGGGGACAACAGUUGGAAACGACUGCUAAUACCGCAUAACGUAUCGGGAUGGCAUCUUCCUGAUACCAAAGAUUUUAUCGCUUAGAGAUGGGCUCGCGUCUGAUUAGAUAGUUGGCGGGGUAACGGCCCACCAAGUCGACGAUCAGUAGCCGGACUGAGAGGUUGAACGGCCACAUUGGGACUGAGACACGGCCCAGACUCCUACGGGAGGCAGCAGUGGGGGAUAUUGGACAAUGGGGGCAACCCUGAUCCAGCGACGCCGCGUGAGGGAAGAAGGUUUUCGGAUUGUAAACCUCUGUUGACGGAGAAAAAAAUGAUGGUAUCCGUUUAGAAAGCCACGGCUAACUACGUGCCAGCAGCCGCGGUAAUACGUAGGUGGCAAGCGUUGUCCGGAAUUACUGGGUGUAAAGGGAGUGUAGGCGGGAUAUCAAGUCAGAAGUGAAAAUUACGGGCUCAACUCGUAACCUGCUUUUGAAACUGACAUUCUUGAGUGAAGUAGAGGCAAGCGGAAUUCCUAGUGUAGCGGUGAAAUGCGUAGAUAUUAGGAGGAACACCAGUGGCGAAGGCGGCUUGCUGGGCUUUUACUGACGCUGAGGCUCGAAAGCGUGGGGAGCAAACAGGAUUAGAUACCCUGGUAGUCCACGCCGUAAACGAUGAUUACUAGGUGUGGGGGGAUUGACCCCUUCCGUGCCGGAGUAAACACAAUAAGUAAUCCACCUGGGGAGUACGACCGCAAGGUUGAAACUCAAAGGAAUUGACGGGGGCCCGCACAAGCAGUGGAGUAUGUGGUUUAAUUCGACGCAACGCGAAGAACCUUA